rnacentral:rRNA from 1 species
GUGGGGAAUAUUGGACAAUGGGCGCAAGCCUGAUCCAGCCAUGCCGCGUGAGUGAUGAAGGCCUUAGGGUUGUAAAGCUCUUUCAGUGGGGACGAUAAUGACGGUACCCACAGAAGAAGCCCCGGCUAACUUCGUGCCAGCAGCCGCGGUAAUACGAAGGGGGCUAGCGUUGUUCGGAUUUACUGGGCGUAAAGCGCACGUAGGCGGAUCGUUAAGUCGGGGGUGAAAUCCUGGAGCUCAACUCCAGGACUGCCUUCGAUACUGGCGAUCUUGAGUCCGUAAGAGGUGUGUGGAACUCCUAGUGUAGAGGUGGAAUUCGUAGAUAUUAGGAAGAACACCAGUGGCGAAGGCGGCUCACUGGUCUGGUACUGACGCUGAGGUGCGAAAGCGUGGGGAGCAAACAGGAUUAGAUACCCGGGUAGUCC